UGAGCGCGCUGGCGGGGCCUGGGAGGUGUCUGAGGUAGGUUGGGUGGUUUCGACAGGCGCGCAUCCUCGGAGAAGGAGGUGGUGGGCAUACCGGUUGGUGACUGGGAUGGGCAUCGACCCUAGACCCAGAAGAGGUCGUGAAGAUUAAGACCAUCGCUAGGCUGUGUUCGUGCGAGGCGACAACCUGGUGAUUGUCGCAUGGCAGUCAACGCCCUUUAUGUUUUCUACCUUUUCGUUUUCCCGACUCGGUCCCUUUUUGGAGUGUCGCCGUCACCACAGACCUUUCUGCCCCCCUGUCGUUUUUCUUCCCUGUCUUAGUGGCUACUCCAGCUCUACACCUCUUCAGUGCAGUGGAAUCCGAUUGUGAGAAGUUUCUGCAAAUUCACAGCACGAGCUGAAGCCAGAACCACGUCUUCGAGAACUGACUUCAAGAGGCAAAACUUUGAAAAAAGAAGAAAAAGCUUGCAUUCUUAAACAAGAUGUAGUGUUUCAGUGCUGGCCCUCCAAAAAUCUACAUUCUAAUCUUGGCACCUGUGAGUAUUCCUAUUUAGAAUAAAGAUCUUUAAAAGGGUCUGAAAGUAAGGAUCUCGAGAUGAGUGGAUCAACCUGGAUUAUCUGGUGGAUCCUAAAUCCAAUGACUUUAUAUAACAGAAAGGAAAAUGCAGAAAAGAGGAAACAUGUGAUCACAGAGGAGGCAGAGAGUGGAGUGAUGCAGCCACAAGUCAAGGAAUGCUGAUGACUGGUGCAGGCAGCUGAAGGAGGCAAAGUACCAGUUUCCCCCUGGAUCCUCAAAAGGCAACACAGACAUGCUGAUGCUGUAAUUUUGAACUUACAGCCUCAGAACUGCAAAGGAAUAAAUUUCUAUUGUUUUAAACUAGAAAUUUGUAAUAAUUUAUUACAUCAGCCCAACAAAAUUAAUGAACAGAGUUUAAAGAAAAUUCAUUAAGAUUUCUACUAGAUUAGUAUAUUGGGGUUCUCCAGAGAAACAAAACCAAUGGAAUAUAUAUUUUUAUAUAUAAUAGAUACAUAUUAAAGUAAGUUAAAAUGGAGACAUGGCCUGAGAAUUCCUGAGCAGAUAAAGCCACAUAAGGCUCAUAAUUUAACCUUACUUGGUUUAUAAACAUAAGUGAAACAAAACUUGAGCUUGUUCUUAUGAAUGCAUAUUUUAAGGAAAAGCAGAACUUAAGUUCAACCAAUCAAAAGGAGACAAAUGUAUAUAACUAGGAACUCUUUCAGAGGAGUGAAACCAAAUAAAGCAACUAUUUAACUGUAACCAACCAAGUGUUUGUUUCAUUUCUAUGUUUGUCUUACAAAAGUCUCUCCUUUCUGUUCCCUUAAGGGAGCUUCCAAGCCACUUCUCAUUUGUAAUUGCAGGAUUCAUGAAUCACUAUUCACACAAAUAAACUUUAAAAUUUUA